rnacentral:misc_RNA from 1 species
GAUGAAGAACGUAGCGAAAUGCGAUACUUGGUGUGAAUUGCAGAAUCCCGUGAACCAUCGAGUCUUUGAACGCAAGUUGCGCCUCAAGCCAUUAGGUUGAGGGCACGUCUGCCUGGGCGUCACAUAUAGUUGCCUGAUGCCAGUUUCCUCGUGAUGGGUGACUGUGCAGGGCGAAUGAUGGCUUCCCGUGAGCAUUGUUGCCUCAUGGUUGGUUGAAAAUUGAGUCCUUGGUAGGGAGCGCCGUGAUAGAUGGUGGUUGAGUGACGAACGAGACCCAAUCAUGUGAGACCCCUACCGAAUUUGGCCUUCAUGACCCACAUGCGUCUUUGGAACGCUCAUGACGAGACCUCAGGUCAGGCGGGGCUACCCGCUGAGUUUAAGCAUAUCAAUAAGUGGAGGA